CCUCUGAUUAUUACCCAACAGCCUUUGCUUUGCUUUGCUGUGUGUAUGAUGAAAACGCGUCUCUGCUGGCCUCUGCUGGUCGAGAACAACUGAAUUCAUUUAUAUUUCCUUUAUUUGUGCGUUCAAACAUUUUAGAUUUACAAUAGAGAAUGCAACUUUAUUUAAAACACCCAUUAGAUAUUUUAUGUAAUAUAAAAGCCAUCUAUAUGUGAAAAUUUGAGUAAAGGUUUCAGUGAUUUUACUGCGCAUGCGUGCGUUAUGACUUUCCUCAAAGUCGUUGCGUCACAGGAAGUAGAAGAACUUCCGUCGGUCUGAAGCGUGAUGCCUUCAAAUUGAUAGUUUUGGAUUAAAAUAUUUGCUUAUAUACGCGUUUCUGUUGGGAUUUUUAGACAGGUGUUGACAGCAUGGCACCCCUGCUGCUCCCGUGUCUUGUUGGUUCCUUGACUCGGCAGUUGGCAAGAGUUGCCAGAUAUGCAGCUUUUGGCUCCUUACCUGCAGUAGGUGCACAGAGAUGCAUCUGCACCAUCCCAGCUGCAGCGGCGCGAUUCGGUGCCAUGGUCAAACCAGUGUACGAGCCACACACAGCGUUCCUCUCACCGCUGCUUGGACGAUGCCAGCAGCUCCUGUGCAUUCAACCGUCCGCUGGCAUGAAGACUAAAACUGCUCUCAAGAGACGCUGUAAAGAUUGCUUUUUUGUCCGCCGCCGUGGAAGGUUGUUUGUUUUUUGCAAAUCCCACCCCAGACACAAGCAACGGCAGGGGUGAAUGAAUUGAGACUUUAAUGUGUGCUGUCACCUCACUUACUGUUUCUCAAAGAAGACAUGAGAAUCGCUUGAAUGGUGUACCAAGCAUGUCAAGAUCAUUGAGUUUCUAAUGAAUAAACAUCCUCAUCUGAAAAGAUGCAUAAA